GUCCCGAAGGACUGUGGCCGAAUACUCAGCGUGGGGAAUUCGGUGGACCGGGUCACUUUGCAAGCUCUGCUUCACGGUCUCUGGGGCCCCGCCUGCGUUGGCCGGUGGGGAAACCAAGAGACAGCAAGCCAACCUUCCAAGCUCAUACACAGGGGGUGUGACCAUGGCCCUGAAGCAGGCACAAUGCCAACUGACCAGCAGGGCUAUCAAGUGAUAAAUGGCAUAAUUGACAGAAUGAAGGUAAGUAAAUCUCCUGGUGCUGCACUAGCAUAUACAAACCAAAUUUUUAUGAUCAGGUUUAUUUUUUAUUUUUUAUUUUUAUUUUUAUUUUUUGAGACAGGAUCUUGCUCUGUUACCCAGGUUGGAAUGUAAGGGCGUAAUCAUGGCUCACU